UCUUAUAAGUUAAAAUAGUAAAUGCAUAUAUUUCUCUGAAUUUCAGCAUAAAAGUCUGGCUUACACAAAAGGAUGACAGUAAGAUUAAGCCCAUAAAUCAUAACCAUUAGAAACUGCUGACAGAUUCUAACUCAUAAUUUCUCUGCCUCCAUUUCCACCCAGAGAACAUAAAUAAUCCAGAUAGUAUUCUUUGAAUAGUUCUGGAAAUUAGGCUGGUGAAAUGCAGUCCCCAUUUCUUGACGGCCAUCAUCAAAAUUCAAAGCAUAACUGGAAGGAUCAUACUGAAAAUUGAUUUGCUGUUUGCCUCUGUUUCUGACUGCCUUCUUUGCUGCUGCUCUCAUUCUCCAGAACACCCUUCUGCAUUGCUUCUUCCCAUAUUUGUGCACCCACACAAAACUACCCACCAACCCCAUAACUUGCAGAUUCAACCAAAUUAUUUACUGGGUUCUGAACAGAAGAAGGGAAUGGAAAGAGCUUUCAUUUUUAUACUGGUAGUGAAUUAAAGAGACCAUCAAGAAAAGGGUUUCCUACAAAUUGACAAUACAAAUGCAAACAAGAAAAUAAUAUGUAAAUCCUUUUUGCCUAUUGAUAAAAGCUGCUAUAUUUCAAGCUGU
rnacentral:lncRNA from 1 species